UACGGAGGGUGCAAGCGUUAUCCGGAUUCACUGGGUUUAAAGGGUGCGUAGGUGGGCAAGUAAGUCAGUGGUGAAAUCUCCGGGCUUAACCCGGAAACUGCCAUUGAUACUAUUUGUCUUGAAUACUGUGGAGGUCAGCGGAAUAUGUCAUGUAGCGGUGAAAUGCUUAGAUAUGACAUAGAACACCAAUUGCGAAGGCAGCUGGCUACACAAAUAUUGACACUGAUGCACGAAAGUGUGGGGAUCAAACAGG
rnacentral:rRNA from 1 species